CACGUAGGGUGCGAGCGUUGUCCGGAAUUAUUGGGCGUAAAGAGCUCGUAGGCGGUGUGUCGCGUCGGCCGUGAAAACCUGCAGCUUAACUGUGGGCUUGCGGUCGAUACGGGCAUCACUGGAGUUCGGCAGGGGAGACUGGAAUUCCUGGUGUAGCGGUGAAAUGCGCAGAUAUCAGGAGGAACACCGGUGGCGAAGGCGGCUUUCUGGGCCUUACCUGACGCUGAGGAGCGAAAGCUGGGGGAGCGAACAGG
rnacentral:rRNA from 1 species